UCCUGUGCAAACAUGGAUACGGCUUUUUUAUUACUUUUAUUUUCCCCACUCUGUGUCCUCUCUCAGACAUUACAGGAGUCAGGUCCAGGAACAGUGAGACCUACAGAACAACUCAAACUGACCUGUACAGUCUCUGGAUUUGAGUUAAGCAGUUAUGGUAUUCACUGGGUCAGACAAGCUCCUGGGAAGGGUCUAGAGUGGGUUGGAGCUAUGUGGAGUGGUGGAAGCACAGUUAUUGCUGAUUCAAUGAAAAACAGAGUCUCACUCACUAAAGACAAUGCACAAAAAAAGGUCUACUACCAAAUGAAUGAGAUGGAAGUGAAAGAUUCAGGAAUGUAUUACUGUGCGAGAGACACAGAGGAAGAAGUGAAUAAGGAAGUGUAACAAUAUCCAUCCCUUGUCAUAAUA